rnacentral:lncRNA from 1 species
GAAGAGAGAACCAGAAAGAUGGCAGCAUGAGAAGGACUUGGCUUGAUAUUGCUGGCUUGAAGACAGAGAAAGGGGACCACGAACCAAGGAAAGCAAGUGACAUCUAGGGGAUAGAAAACCAAGGAAACAGGUUCUCCCCUGGAACCUGCAGGAAGUCAUGGACUCUGCCAAAACCUUGAUCUUAGCCUGCUGAAGAUCCGUGUCAGACUUUGCAUCUAUGGAACUGUGUGAUUUUACUUUUCCAACCUACUUUGCGUAUGUCUUUUAUUUUAACUGACUUAAAUCCUUCCUGAAAAAAAGAUAACGUUCGGAAAUAAAGGAACAAACAGAAGAGCGCAGCGUGCUGUCCUUAGAUUCAUGUCUGGAAGACCACGUUGUAUAAACGUAAAACAUGUACUGAGGAAAACAGUUUUAAAAUGCUGCUUAAUAAAUCAAGAGUCUUAUUUUAGACCAGUGAGAGAUUUUAAAGUAAGAAAAAUGCCAUCGUGUUGUAUUGUCAAUCAAAGAUGUCUCUGAAAACUUGAGUCAGGCUCUUCUCUGAAAAUGGUGAAGAAAGUGACUUGGUGAAGAGAAGGGGGCCUUCUAAAUGACAUUCUCUGGAGAAGCUGCUCUACCCGGGCAAAACCAUUAUGGGGACUGACAACUGGGACGGAGAUGAAGUAAGAGUUCUGCAAGUCAGAAGUCCAAAUGGGUCUUACGGGGCUAAAAUCAGGGUGUCAGUGGAGCACUGGUCCUUCUAGAGGCUCUAGGCAGUGCUCUCUCAUGGAUGAGUUACCUGUUCUUUCCAGCACACGGGCGCAAAGCUCUGUAAGUUGAAAAUCAGGACACAGACUGGCUGGGUUAUCUGCUGUGGUGCUCAGAUGGCUGAAAUCAAGGUGUCGACCCAGCUGACUUCUUACCUGUAGGCUCUGGAGAAAAAUUCAUUUCCAAGCUCAUUCUUGCUGUUGGCAGAAUUCAGUUCUUUGCGGAUGUAGGAUUGAGGUCCCCAUUUCCUUGCUGGCUGUCAGCCAGGGUCCACUCUCAGCUCCUAGAGGCUGCCUGCAGUUUACACCGUGGAUGUUUUCUUUCAGCCAGUAGGAACAUGCUUUUCUGACUUUCAAUUACAGCUCUCUGCAACCAGCGAAAAAAAUCUCUUUGGGUUGAAAGGACCCAAUUCAGCGGCUAUUCUGGACGUGUGUUGUCCAUGGCUUGCCUUCCCCAUGCUCUCAGUCACCGAAGGCUCAUGCUGCUGUCCUGGAUCCCCAUCUCCAAACCUGCAACUCAUUCUCCUUGUCUCCAACUACCUGUCUGUUUCCUCAAGGUCCUGCUCCUUGAGCUCAUCGGAUAAAAGAAUCUGCUUGGUCCACCAGUGGACUGAGAGUAGAAGAAAGUCCAAAUAGAACUUUUUAUACUCCCUGCAGGGAUACAUUUUCUUAUUUUAAAUGUUUACUUAUUUUAAGGUCUUCUUUGGUGGUUGGACUAUAGUA